AUGUUAGUCAGUGUCGGGAAUGUUUCCAAUGAAUAAUAUAUGGUGUGUUUAGUCGGAUGAUUUAAGAUCAGAUAUUUGGGAAAAUACUCGAACAAAGCCUAAUUGUGCGAUGAGAAGUUUUUCUGACAAGCAAAUGCAAAACAAAAUUAACUUUAACAACUUCUUUCCAAAGUCCAAAUAAUUGCAAACGACGGUUAGGUUUGCAUUGAUGAAUAUGCAGGCGUGUGACGAUACCAAACAGUGAAAAUAAGAGUGUGUUGCGAAAAUAAAGCAAUGCAUUGUUUGAACGAAAUAGAGAGAGUUGUUUGUGUUGAAGUUUUUAGACAAGCAAAUAAAGCCAAAUCAAGCCAAAGCCAAAGCUAAAAUUAAAAGUGAAAAAAACAAUUGGAAAUUAAUCAAACGCGAAGUAGUAAAUCAAUUAGCAAAGAGUGCGAGCUCGAAAAGUAUGCGUGGUGACAAAAUUGCGAAAUAUGCAAACGGGUAAAAUACUUUUCGGCAGUAAAAAUGCGAACGAUAUCAACUUAAUAGAAGUAGAGAAAAUGUUGCUGCAACAAUGUUGUCAAAAACGCAUUUAUCGGACGGAGCAUAGCAUAAUGCGGAAGGUGAACUUCGCGCUACGCAACUUUGCGCGUUUGUUUGCGAGUAGUGUGAGUGCAGGACGAUAGAUAAAUAAAAAUAAAAUAUCAUAAAUAAAAACUAACGAAAUAAAAAAAGGGGAAAAAAUCUUAAAUAAAAUAAUUAUAUGUUAGCUACCCGACUAAUGAUGGCUUUUUUGCAAUAUAUGUAUGUACAUACAUAUGUAUGUAUGGUUGAGUGUGCACGGUGAAGAGAUGGUUGGUCUUUAGUUCUUAACAAGCAAAUUUGAAAAUUGGGAUUAUUAAUAAUUUUAUAUAUAUCAAGAAAAUCGUUACCUAUAAACUUUAAUAAAACGCCUUAGUAAGUUAAAUUAAAAUACUUAAAAAAUGAAGAAUGUGGAAGAAUAUCCUCAAAUUAAUUUUUUGAAUGGAGUGCUUUUGAGCUCCUGAAAUCGGUAAAUGUAAUUUCUAGACGAUAUACACCUCAAAAGUGAAUUAUAUCGAAUUUUACGGUUUUGUUGUUUAAAAGUAUAUUUUAACUGCAAAUUAUUAAAAAAUACAUAAUUGACAAACAAUUUCUAGUUAAAUGUUUAGUCAAAAAAGUCUAUUCAAUACAUAUGUAUGUACAUAAAACUUUGCGAAAAAUUGAGAAAGUGCAAAAAGAAAAAGUUUUCGAGACAGCGAGAGGGAGUAUAAUAUCUGCUAAAUGUCAAUCGAACAACAACAGAUGCUUUCUUUCAUCACUUGUUACUUUAGUUGAACAAAGGCUUUAUACUAUACUGAUAGAGAACGGAUUAGAGAUAUCAAACAGAUCAAAUCAAUGGACGAGUGAUCGAUUGUGGCAAUUACAACUUCCGGCCGCAUUUCACAGAGAGAGCACCAGAACAUUUUGCUGUUCCACUUACACAUCAGUUUGGUGCUUGUAAGCCUAUUAUGAUUGAAGCAGAUGCAGACACAUACGAGUACUCAAAUUUAUGUGAACUUUGAAGUUCAGAAUGCGGCCCAGUCCUCUGCAACUUCAAUGUAAUCGUUGAUUUUGGAAAUAAACAUAAAUAUAGACUAAUUGUACAUGUUGAAUGUUGAAAGAAAUACUAGUGCGCACAGCUCACGGUGGAUGUGUUACACGCAUGCAGUAAUAUAGUAAGUACACUGCAUGCAAAAGAUCGUUCGGCGCAAACGCGAAGAGAAAAGAAAAUGCGUUUUAAGUGUCAAUAUGUUUGUGUUAUCGGUGCGAAAAUGAGCUUCGAACAAAGAGCCAACAUUAAAUUUUGUUUUAGAAUUGGUAAAACUUUUCCCGAAACGUUUCAAUUGAUGAAACAAGUUUAUGGCGAUGAUUGCCUAUUCCGUAGCAGAGUGAACGAGUGGUUUCAACGUUUUCAAAGUGGUCGUGAGGACAUAAAUGACGAUCAACAUGUGGGCCAAUCAAAAUCCGUGAUCACCGGAAAUUCCAUCCAAACUCUGCGUGAAUUCAUCAAAAAUCAGCCGAAAUUAUCAUUGAAAUUCAUGGAAAUGGAAUUGAACAUCUCCAAAACAUCGAUUUAUCGCAUUUUGACAACAUUUGGGCUUACGAAAAGUGUGUGCAUGGUUUGUUCCGCACAAGUUGACUGAUGGCCAAAAAUUGCUCUCAUCGAUCCACGCUUGUGACCGAUUAUUUGACCAAAACUCACAUUUUAACCAUUAACCACUUCCCGUAUUCACCUGAUAUGGCACCGUGUGACUUCUUCCUUUUCAAAAAAAUGCAUUUGCCCAUGAAAGGAAAGCGUUAUGCAGACGUAGAGGCCAUUCAAAAGGCUUGCACCGGCAUACUGGUGGCCAUACCGGCCAACGAGCUAAAACACUCGUUCGACAUGCUUUUGGACAAUGCAAAAAGCUGUAUUGAAGCAGAAGGAGACUAUCUUGAAUAAAAUAAAUUGAUUUGCCAAAAAAAAACAUUUUUUUGGUUUUUUUAAGUCCUGUUUACUUUGGAACGCACCUUGUAGAAUGCAAACACAGUGUGGAUGCAUGUUGUACGUUUGUGCCAAUUACACUAUAACCGCUUUUGUUCCUAUUUUGUUCUAUGAAUUUUCUUAUGAUGCAAGACACCCGAGAUACGAGCGGAGAUAAUGCAGUGGGUGGAUGGAUUGGUGAAUUGCGUUAAUUGAAUGGCUUGAGUGAUAGCUUCGUGGAGCGCGUAGUAGUUUGGUAGCAGAUGAAUUGUAUGGCGAAUUAACUGAAACAAAAAAAUAUAUAAGAAUUUCAUGCACAAAUGUUUAUCACAUAUUUAAUUACAACUGUAUUCUAAUCUGUGAUGUGUCAUCCAAGGGGUGCCAAACUGCUCUGCACCCAUGACAUCAUUAUUGCCAACUGAGUAAAUUUAUUUCACUUACAAGUGUGCCAGUGUUGGUAAUUGAGAUGUUUAUUAAAUUUAACUUCGAACUUGUUUUAUACUUUUACCAUCAUUUCACGAUAGUAAUUACGAAUCGUUAAACAAUAUUAUUAAAUAGAACAAAACCCGAACGAACGCCCACUAAGAGCUAUGAACGCUUACAAUAAUAUGGCAUCAUGUAAAAUUGCUAUAAGAUUAUACAAUAAAUCCUGGAAAUUGAUUACCAUCGUGAGGGAAAAAUAAUAUCUUUUGUUCAGCGAACACUGCCAUUUGUUUCUUUAUACUGGAAACAGCGCCAAAAACCGAAAAGUACAAUUUAGUAAUUUAAUAAAGGGAUUGUAACCAGUGUAGAUCACGCGCUGGUUUACUCAAAGCAAAUAAUGAUUUAACGUUUUUUUAAUUGAAGUCUCUUCAAUAUUCUCGAUAUCGAUCUUUUAAGGGGAUGUGACUUUUUUAUUAAAAUAUUAAUAAUAAAUAACAAUAAUGUCCUUUCUUUUAGAAACUGGUUGAAUCGGGCCAAUUCUUCCCUUAGCCGUCAUAUACCUUGUAAAAAGAUUGUCCGCAUUUGUUAUUCGAACUUCUUCAUGGUCGGGCAAUGGAACGUCUGCUCCGCUCUGCAGACUAGAGAAAAGUUCCUUCCACAAUUUUAGUAUGUUGUGGGCACCUUCUGUUAGUAGCCGUAGUUUUUCGUAGAAUUUUCGAGCAGUACCAGCUCGAGAAACAGCUGUCGGCCAGCUGUUUUCUCUCUACUGCGACCUGGCACUCCUCAUCGUACCAGCUGUUCUUUUGCAUUUUCCGAAAACCAAUGGUUUCGGUAGCAUCUUUGGUCUCUUACGUCGGGGCAUGAGCGCAAAUCAGCGAUAUGUUGAAGAUCUUUGCUUUGAUGCGGAUUGUGGCUAGACGUUCAUCCACCGGGGUGAAUGACAGUACUCAGCGACAGAGUCCUCUCAAGGACUUACUCACCUCAGUGCUUGUUCCAUCCAUCGCAUUUCUUGGACGGCGGUGAUGUCAGCCUAUACUCUAACAAAGAUAUAAACCAGCUGGGUAGCCGCACCUUCUCAAUUAAGAGACCGGACAUUCCAGGUGCAUGCCGUGGCUUUUUGUUCCUUUUAAUUGGGGGCGUUUUAUACGUGGAGGGUCCCAAACCCCGCGCACAACAAGGGGACGUUUCGCCGACUCACUUUAGCUCGCCUGCAAAUAUAUGUUCUUUGCUUACCCAGAGGAUACUUGGUCUAGGACCGUUUCUGGCAAUCAGAGAAUCUUUAGUUUUGCAUUGAUUAACUAGCUAAAGUUGUGCCAAAUAAGCUGAGCGACGACGCAAUUUAGCUUUACACGAACAUUCUCUCUUCUCAGCUGUGUGGCUAAUCGACCAAGAGCCUGCACGCUUGCCUGCUCAGCUGUAAAAUUUUCAAUUCCGUCAAUUGUGUUUAGUAACAAAGGUUGUCCGGUUCACUUCAUUCGACUUUAGAACAUUGUGUGCAGAUUGUUAGCAACUUCAACAAAUGUAACAGUGAUAUCGCGAACACACAUGCGCUAUUAGAGAAAUUAAAAACAAACUGUAUGCCGAAGGCACUACGCAAAAGGAGGCAGAGAGAGCAGAGGCAGUUCAGGCGAUGUUAUUAACUAACACUCUGGCGAGUGUGUGCAAUUUUGUAGUGAAACAAUUAGAAAUUAGUAUUUUAUUUCUAGGUAAAAAUAUUUGAUUAAUAGCUGAUAGCAUAGAGACGCAUUUUAAGUGCUUUGAUGAUCUAUAGAAUAUGAAUUCAGUUGAUAGAAGCUUGAAAAACGUUUAAUGAGUUUCUUUGUUUUGUUUUUGGUCUAGCUAUUAAUUAGUAGCUCCCACGCCUUUCCGUUUCGCGUUGAAAGCGAUAAACUCUUUGAUGAAAUGAAAUACUACUCAUUUAUAAACAUUGUUUUGCUGUGCAACUUUCAUAUGGGCGUUUACGUUUAAGGGCUUGGUGCCAACACCCGCGCAAAAAUCUUCGUUAAUUGGUACAUUUAUGUCCACUUGUGGCAUGUAAAGGCCACUUACACCCACGCAGCUUGAUCUUUGAACAUAUGUAUAUUUGUGAGUUGGGAGUGGGCGUGUGUUCACCCGCUGCAUUGCCACCACGCUGUCGGCCACAAAGUAGCCGCGCAAAUAUUUCGCCCCACUCUGCCAUAAAUCAUAAUUACAACAAUGUAUGACCGCAUGGUUAACGGCCAAAAUAUUUUUUGCCGUAUUUUCAUUCAAAAUUACGUAUAAGUAUUUACGUGUUUGACUAUGUACAUUUGCAUUUUAAAUGGACAAUCGCUGUUGUAAUGAAUGUUCGGUGCAUAUGCGAAAAUACGCGCCAGCUGGAAGCGGUGAUAUCUGUUCAUAGGUGCGAUGUUUUGCCUAUGGUGUGAAAGGGAGCUUGUGUUCCCUCACAUACGUCCUCUUAAUCCAUGAGUUUAUUCUAUGAUAAUGAAGGUCAGCACCCACCUUUAAAAGAUACGUAAUUUGGCAACUGAGAAAUGAGCACCGAGGAUAAUGAAGGCAGUGGACGCCAUAAAGAGGCAAAGUGGGUGCCGCGCAAGUUCGUAAUCCAACAAAAACAACGAAUUUGUGAUUGUGAGGAGUGUUUGAGCGCUCCGUACCGUCGGUAUGUGACAGCAGAAACAUGGCUUCAUCAUUUCACACUGGAGUCCAAGCGACAGUCAGCUAGUAGACUAAUCUUCAAGCGUGGAAAAACGAAAAGUCGGCUGGCAAGGUUAUGGCAUCAGGCACUUGAGAUACUAUUCAUCGACUGAUUACUGAGCCAAUUAUGAUCUAUUGCUGUGCGUAGUUGGUUAUUCUACCAUUCCCAAUAUUUAGGAAUUCUAUUAAUUUUUAGGACUAAUCAGUAUGAAAUUGUCCGCGCAAUGCUUCGAAAAAUAUAUCUCAAAUUAUAAUAGACCUUUUUAACUUACUUCGAAAAUAUUCAUUUAAAUCAUAUGCUGUAAAGGGCCAUAGAGACUUACAUAUAUUUAAAUCAACAAAGUAUUUAAGGUAUUUAAUUGGAUAAGGAUUAAUGCUGUAUUUGUUAAAAUUUACCAUUAUUUGUCGUAAAAAGUAAAUGACAAAAAAAGUUAUUGUGGGAUAUUCAUAAGAGAUAGACCAAUACCAUCGCGCAGUUUCCUCUAAGCCUUUUCAAUGUGUACAACACUUAGUAUAUUACUUUGAUAAAUCUCGUAGAGUUCAGCCUGCGUUUGCAAUAUGAGCGGAAAAAAUGUAAUUGUUUUCGAUAUCACAUUAGAAACCACAAAAAUACCAACAUUUCUUUAACAUUUAAUGGAUGUUAUUAUACAUAUAAACCAUUAUCUCCAAUCACUCUAUCUACUAAAAAACCCGCAUCAAAAUCCGUUGGGUAGUUUUAAAGAUUUAAGCAUACAUAGGGAUGUAAAGACAGAGAAAGCGCCUUGUUUUACGCUAUUUAGUGAUUAGCAAUCUAUCUAAAGCAAUCAAAAACUUUUAUAAAUAUUGUAUAAUAAUCAACAGAACUGAGUGUGCUCCAUUGAGACUAAUCAUAAUAUUCACCAAAAAACAUAGUUUGCUAAAAGUAUUCCUGAAACUACUUAAAAU